AACAAGAAUGGCUGUCCUUGAGGUUAAGAGAUUUUCUUGUUCUUCACAUUUUACAUUUUGUGAAGGUCAAAUAUAUAAAAGGAGGGAAUGUAGAUGCCGAACCGCAAUAACCUUGGUACCAUACGAGCUUGUACCUGGUUAACACUCGUCAGGGCUAGAAGAAAGCUGAAGUUAUAGAAAAUGUUCUCAAACGGUGUUUAACUGCACAAAAAGUGAAUCUUUAUCUGAGUAUGGCGAGGCAACGAAGCAGCAAAUUAAUGGAGUGUCUGGCAUGCCCUCUGUCUAAGGAAUCCUUGAGGUUCUGCGCAAAAUCAAAUACUCUUAUCAACGAUUCAAUGGGCGUUAGUUAUCCCGAAGAUUUAAUUGGUUGAAGGCUCAACUCUGCUGUAUGCUGGACACGGGCUGCUUGUGCACCAUUUCUGGACAUGGGAAAAUACUUCUGAGUGCUGCUGGGUUAUUCAGAUUGAUACACAUAUAAGAUGUUUGUUAUGUAAUCCUGAUCACUGUAAUGUCAGUUUUAGAGUAGAAUAAAAAAUGAAAGGUCAUGGCUGGAAUUUGUUUGUGAUAUUUUAUAUUUUCCUUGCUGCUGUUAAAUUCUGUUAGCUGAAUAUUAUUCUGAUCCUCUUGGGCGAUUGCAUCAGCAAUAUGAACAGUUUCUCUCAGAAAGUGCAAUAACAUUCUGUGAAUUUAAAGAGGUCAGAUUUGAUUACUUUCAGAUAUAUUGUUCUUAAAUCGCUGUUCAAACUUUAAUGGUUCAGUGAAUGUUAUUAAAUUAUCUUGGUUAAUCUUACUGCAUGCCAACAAGAUAAUUUAUAUGUUUCAAACAUUGUACCAAAUCAGAA